rnacentral:rRNA from 1 species
GACGAACGCUGGCGGCGUGCUUAACACAUGCCAGUCGAACGGUGAAGGGGCUUGCUUUUGUGGGCCCUGGAUGAGUGGCGAACGGGUGAGUAACACGUGAGUAACCUGCCCCCUUCUUCUGGAUAACCGCAUGAAAGUGUGGCUAAUACGGGAUAUUCUGGGUCUGUCGCAUGAUGGGACUGGGAAAGAUUGCGCCUUUGGGUGUUUUUGGUGGGGGAUGGGCUCGCGGCCUAUCAGCUUGUUGGUGGGGUGAUGGCCGACCAAGGCGGUGACGGGUAGCCGGCCGGGGAGGGUGGACAGUCAGACUGGGACUGGGACACGGCCCAGACGGCUACGGGAGGCAGCGGUGGGGAAUAUUGCAAAAGGGGCGCAAGCCUGAUGCAGCGAGGCCGCGUGGGGGAUGGAGGCCUUCGGGUUGUCAGCCUCUUGCGCCAGUGAAGCAGGCCUGUUCCUUGUGGGUGGGUUGACGGUAGCUGGAUAAGAAGCGCCGGCUAACUACGUG